rnacentral:rRNA from 1 species
CCUACGGGAGGCAGCAGUGGGGAAUAUAGCACAAUGGGCGAAAGCCUGAUGCAGCAACGCCGCGUGAGUGAUGAAGGCCUUCGGGUUGUAAAGCUCUGUCUCCUGGGACGAUAAUGACGGUACCAGAGGAGGAAGCCACGGCUAACUACGUGCCAGCAGCCGCGGUAAUAGGUAGGUGGCAAGCGUUGUCCGGAUUUACUGGGCGUAAAGGAUGCGUAGGCGGAUACUUAAGUCAGAUGUGAAAAUCCCGAGCUUAACUUGGGAACUGCAUUUGAAACUGGGUAUCUAGAGUGUGGGAGAGGAAAGUGGAAUUCCUAGCGUAGCGGUGAAAUGCGUAGAGAUUCGGAAGAACACCAGUGGAGAAGGGCAGUUUAAGGCCCAUAACGGACGCUGAGGCCUGAAGGCGUGGGGAGCAACCAGGAUUAGAUACCCGGGUAGUCCGCGCCUUGAACGAUUAAUAAUAGGACUGGGGGUUAUCAAGACCGAACUUCCGCAAGCUGACAAUAAGAAUUCCGCAUUAGAAAAACUACAACAAUAUCAAUAUUCAAAAGCAUUGAUGA